CGUCGGCUCGAAUGCGAUAAACUUGCAACCGGGCUGAACAUCCCCACCACUUUACAUAAUUCGCUCGGUGAGACAAACAGCGGCGCGGUGUGGCAUUCGGAGGUCGAAGAUCGUGUCGUUAAGGCGUAUCAACUCGCGGCAGGUUAUUGGCGUCAGUUAAGAAGACAUAUUGGCGCCAAAAAACAGGAAUUCCAAUAUGGACGCCAUAACGGUCAAUGUUUAAUUUAAUGCUUUUUCGUGGAGAUGGAUAAGUUUAUAUUGCCCUUUCAUUGAAUCAUUGAGAAUGUUCGUGACAACGUGCAAUGCGGUUGAUAGAGUCAGUGUUUGCAACGCAAUAGUUUCUUUUUAAUAUUCUUUAGAGCACAAUAGCUCUUAUUAAAUUUAAUUGCAAUAGUCAUACGCGAAAUUAGAUUCAGUGUUUGUUCGGCGUUUUAUUUAAACGAGCGCGUUAAUAGUACUUUAUUUUUCUUUUUUUAUUUAUACUCUUUUUUUAAAUACUAUUCGUUUUCGGCAUUAGAAUCAAUGCUCAAGAGGAUAAAGCCUUUCCAGGAGUUUAAGAGUAUCUGCCCCACUGUCUACCACUUACCAGUUCUUUGAGAGGAUCAAAUGAUGCUUCAAAAGCCAAGUAUAUUUUUCACAUCCUCCACUUCUCCCAUGAGCUUUGAUGGUUCUUCCUUGAUAAUGUCUUCUAGACUAUUGCAGCAGUGCUGACAACGUCCUACGCAUCUAAUUAAACUGAUCAUGGAAUCAACGAAAGAAGACUCGGAUCUCCUAUAUCCCUUUCUCUCUCUAUAUUAUAUUCAGAUUGUUAGAUAAAUAGAAACCAUAAAAAAAUUAUUAGAUCUCAAUAUACGUACAUAUAUAGAGUCUGAAUAAAACUUUUAGACUUGUAAUGUGUAGGGACUCCACGAAAUCUCUAGUUGGUCAGUGAUAGAAUUAGUAAGGCGAGAAACAUGUUUUAAAGUUCGUGAAAAAUAUUCAAUAUUUUGAAAGAUACGUUUGUUCCAUGCAAUAUCCCUUUCUCGUCCCUUAUUACAAUCAAAUAUUUAUAAGAUCUAUCGAAAUCAUUAAAUUGACGAUAGAUAGGAUAGUUUAGAUUUAUAAUUAGGAUUAGGUUUAGAUUUAUAAUUAUUGCUUAGAAAAAAUCUUAAUAUUAA